CUCCCUCGAUGGUGCGGUUUUUCUCUUUAUCUCGAAGCUAUCCAAUGACGGUGCAAUUUCUUAUAAAACUUAAAUCUUUCUCUCUCUCUCUCCCUUAAGGGCCUGUUUGGUUGAAAGGAAAGGGAGGGAUUCAGCAAUCCCUCCUGUGUUUAGUUGGCUAAUUGGCUAAUUAGAAAGGAGGGAAAGGAAGGGAAAAAGAGAAAGUCUGUUUGGAUGGGAGGGGAGGGAAAGGAAAGGAAAGGAUUGUAUAGUGUAAAUUCAAUCCCUCCCAAAUCGAACGGAUUGGGAGGGAAAGGAAAGGGAGUAAGUACAAAAGUGUUGACUGCCCACAAUACCCCUCCACGUUUUUUUUCUCCUUGCCUCUCAACUUUUGACUAUUGAGGGUAUUAUUAUAAAUUGUAUUGUUUCCUUUCCAUUCCAUUCACUUUUAUCCAAACAAGCUUUUAUAAUCACCUCUUUUCAUUCCAUUCACUUCCCUUCCCUUUCUCUUCCCUUCCCUUCCCUUUUCAUUCCUUUCCUUUCCUUCCCUUUCCCUCCAUCCCUUUCCCUCCAACCAAACAGGGCGUAAAAGGACCAGGUUUUUGGGGGGUCUUGCCGGGCCUUCAGCACGACCGGUGCAUUGAAAUGAGCUAAUAUUCUUACGACUGUUGAUGCAUCGUCAACGUUUACGAGUUCCCUCAAGAGGAUUCGCGGAUUUACCAUGAAAUCGUACUCCUGAGAUUGCUAAUAUUCUGAUUGCGAAUACCGCUCGAUCUUUACAUGAGGGCCAGUGAGAGAGCAGAGGAGGUGAGCAUGAGUCUGCGUAAAGAAAUAACCAGAAUCUUGCCGCCUUAAAGCUCCUUAGCCUACGCGAGCAGCAGCUUGUUGAUUGUGAUCAUGAGGUGGCAACUGUUGCAAACAUGGGGGCCUUGUAGCUUGUGACCCUUAUCGUGCUGGUUUGGACCUUCUUUUGAUGGUUGGAAGUGUGCGUGAGCAGAUCCAGGCGGACAGAUGACAGAUCCACUCAAGGCAUUGGGCAUCGAUUCACUUGAGUACGAAGAAGAGUUGAUGAAGGCAGAGCAAUGGAACGUUGAAUUACACUGAUGCUUGGAUCUUCCAGUUCCCAUAAUCUUCUUUUCACCAAUAACAGGCAUUUAACAAGCUGUUGGGUCUGGAGGUGCUUGUGCUUUUGUUACUUGAUGUUUAUCAAGUGACAUUUUCUUGUUGGGUUAAAUGGUCAGUGCAGAAACAUAUAUGAUGAACUAGCUAUUGGUCAAUGGACUCUCACCUGUCCGUGUUUUCCUUGCUGAAGACUGUUUAUGACAGUUUCUGAUUAAGAGAUAUUCUGGUUUUGCUAUUGCUAUUAGAAUUAGGUCAUCGUAAUGCCUAUGUAAUUGAUUUGCAUGAUCUAACUCUAGACAUGAAGCACAUAAAGGAUUUCAUAUUGAUCAAUUGCAUACAGUAUCCACCUUAAUUAGACUUGUGUUUCUGUGCCAUUUUAGUCUGAAUUUUUGUCUGUGCAACUUUCCUCUUAAUUUUCUGCCAUGAUUUUCUUGAUUGGGAUGUUGUAGGUUCCCCUGGAUUUUUGCCCUGUAAAUAGUGGCAACUGGUUUGUCUCUUCUGCAAGAGAAUUUUUUUUGAUGCACCAGCUUUAUGCAUGUCGGUUCUACUCUGUUCUGAUACAUAUCACGUGCAUCUUUGCCUGGCACUGUUGUUGUCUAAUUAGAUAUGAAGUGUUGCUGUAACCUCUUGUUUACUGCAUCCUGUGCGGCAUGUGCAUGCUUUUUUUGUGCUAUUAUCAUUAGGAGUCACUGAAGAUAAAGAUGUUGGUGCAUCUGUUAAGCAGUGAUGCUUCUUGCUUUGCAUUUUCUUCCCUGCUAAUAACAUUGUCAAGAUGGUUUCAAUAUUUUUGAUGUUUUAAUGUAGGUCCCUCUGGUCAACUUUCAGGUUUUUGCUUUUAAGAGUGUUUUGUAGAAGUCAAUCAGCUUUAUCCUAGCAUAGGGAAAGACUGUUACUUCUGUUGCUCUUGUAUAUCACAUGGCCAAACGAGGCUAAAGACAGAGCCUGGUUUUGGUUUGUGCACCAUGUAAUGUGGCUGUUGGUGGAUUUGCUGAUAAGAAAACAGAAUUGAUAUAGAUAUUUCUUGAAAAUGUUUGUUAUACGACUCAACAUAACUGUCUUCAUGUUCUGGUUUGAAGAUGACAUGGAAUUGAUGUAGAUCAGUGUCUACAUGAACAUAGAUUGGCUUGGUAUUGAGUACCGAACGCAAUAAGUUCAUAGUUUCCUGUCCUGCUAUGAGCAUGUUUUAUAGUAAU